GCACUGCCGAGGAGUCCCACAAUAGGACGAAACGGCUGUACAGUGC
rfam:Schistosoma curassoni strain Dakar, Senegal genome assembly, scaffold: SCTD_contig0001453